UACGAAGGGGGCUAGCGUUGUUCGGAUUUACUGGGCGUAAAGAGCUCGUAGGCGGUUUGUCGCGUCUGCCGUGAAAGUCCGGGGCUCAACUCCGGAUCUGCGGUGGGUACGGGCAGACUAGAGUGAUGUAGGGGAGACUGGAAUUCCUGGUGUAGCGGUGAAAUGCGCAGAUAUCAGGAGGAACACCGAUGGCGAAGGCAGGUCUCUGGGCAUUAACUGACGCUGAGGAGCGAAAGCAUGGGGAGCGAACAGG
rnacentral:rRNA from 1 species